CGUAGGGUGCGAGCGUUAACCGGAAUUACUGGGCGUAAAGCGUGCGCAGGCGGUUUUGUAAGACAGAUGUGAAAUCCCCGGGCUCAACCUGGGACCUGCAUUUGUGACUGCAAGGCUAGAAUACGGUAGAGGGGGAUGGAAUUCCGCGUGUAGCAGUGAAAUGCGUAGAUAUGCGGAGGAACACCGAUGGCGAAGGCAAUCCCCUGGACCUGUACUGACGCUCAUGCACGAAAGCGUGGGGAGCAAACAGGAUUAGAUACCCUGGUAGUCCACGCCCUAAACGAUGUCAACUGGUUGUUGGGUCUUUACUGACUCAGUAACGAAGCUAACGCGUGAAGUUGACCGCCUGGGGAGUACGGCCGCAAGGUUG
rnacentral:rRNA from 1 species